UCUCCACAACAUAUGUGAAACUACCCUUAAACUUUGAAGAAGGGAAAGGAGAACUGGAGAGAAGUGUCCUGGUAAAAUACCGGUGAGGACAGAGGAAGCCCAGACAGUGUCCCGGCAUUCCCAGUUCUGAGGGCUGCAGAGAGGGCUGGGCGGGCACAAUAUCUGGAGCUGGUGAUGGGGUGAGGGGUGAGGGCUCUUCCAGGACUGGCACAGCAUGAGGGGAAGAGGCAAUCCCAGUGGAAGGAUGCUGGUGGAUGCCACCUGCCGGACAGGUGGAAGUGGUGAGCAGAUCUCGCAUGCAAACACCAGGACCCAGAGGAGCUGCACUGAGAAGAUGCUUUACUUCCUGUUGUUGAUUUGAGAGUCUGAUGAAAGUAUAUUUUGCCAGAAAGUACUCAAUUUGGAGCAAAGAAGAUUUUUCUAUGUAUAUAAUUUAGCCAACUUCGAUCAUUUCACUGAGAACCUCAGAAAUGAUGGUGUGACCCCCAUGAACAAAGCCACAGGUAAAGAGAUGAACCAAGAGAGUCUUUAUUCCUGGAAUUGAUUUCUGUACAAUGCAUUGGGGAGAUAUUAGACUUCUUCAAGACAUUGAACAUGCUGAAAAUGCCAAUUAAGUUCACUCUGGCAACUUCAAAAGGAGCCGUGGGUCAGCAGGCACAGUCAAAUCAGCCUUCAUAAGAAAGACAAGGAGAUAAAAACCAGUCAUUCAUGCCACGGGAGUACUGAGGAAGCUGCAUCAGAGGCCGUGCGGAGCCAGCCUCAUGGGACGGCAUCGCUGGUCCCUGCACCACGACCAGCCUCUCCCCGAGAAUUGGUCCCCAGGGAUCCGCCCUCGAUUUUGGAAGUAUUUCUGGUGCCUCAACUCAAAUCUGUCCCUCCAGUCUUCCUGAAGGACUGAAUCACACGUCUACCCCAGACAGGUUCCUAGUCGAGUUGAGUGGGAUUGCCCAGACUGGCUUUGACACACCGCAUUUCAUUUCUAGAGGUGGGUACAAAAUAGGACUUCUGUUACUAAGAAGGAAGGAGAAUGACUUUGAGUGGGCAGUGACCACGGUCUCCCUCCCUGGAUAACCUCACUCUGCAAAGUGGCCUGAGUCCUCGCUGAAGCAUGUCUAAAAACCAGGUGUAUAUUUAAGAAUAAAGACUCAACUGCAGACGAUUCUCCAUAAAGAGAGAGGUGGUAAAUAUUUUAGACUUAGUGGGUUAUGUAGUUUCCAU
rnacentral:lncRNA from 1 species